rnacentral:lncRNA from 1 species
AUGCAAUCCAAUGUUGGCUGCAACAAAUGAAGAAAUCAUCCCUAACAUGAACAAGAGUAAAAUAUGGAUAAUUUGAAAUAAAGCUUCAGAUAGAAAAUAACAAAAUGAUGCAACUAAUGGUACAGACCAAGUUUCAGCAACCGUAGCAUAGUAUACCAGCAAAGCAUGUAUGAUAUCAACCAAGUGCACUGUAAAUGAUCUGCUAUUUCGAUAGAAAAUAUGGGAUGG